UGUUUUUGUAGUGAAGCGGUGAUGGUGAAGAACGUGGGUAAUUCGGGUGAUGCACGUCUGAUGUUUGACGAAUUGCGGAGGCUUUGUUCCCUUUGGUCUCUUUCUGUCAUUCAGAGAUGACAUACUGCACUGCACCAAAUUCUGCAUAUCUGUGGGUAGGGUUGUGUCCAGAGCUGCUCUGCCCGUUAGCAAUUCUAGCAGAACAACGCCGAAUCCGUACACAUCGCUUUUAACAUACAGGUGCAGCGUAACCAUAGGUGCCCAUGAUCCGCGUGGUUACGUGGGAUUUACCAUUGACGGGGCCAAGUUUUGCCAGCCCAAAAUCUGAUAGCUUUGCAUUGAAAUCCUAAUGAAUUCGCAACACAACAAUGGGACCAGGUUAAGUCAAUGAUGGAUGAUAAAUUUUCUCACCCCUCACCACACUUUGGUGUAGAAGAGGAAAAAGAAAAAGUAAUCAAUGUUUAUAGUAAUUUGAUGUGACAAAAAGAGGGAAAAGUGUGUGAUUAUUGAUUGAGUGAGGAGGGAAUUAGCAGUGCACACACAUAGAUAUACAUCUAUAUAUACAUAUAUAUACAUAUAUAUACAUACCCCAUCUAGCAAAAUGUUUGAGGACUUGAAGUCUCUAUAUAUGACAGUUUUCUCUGAUGUGUGCAUGAAAGCUAGGCCUCUGGCAGCUCCUAUGGCUAUCUUCAGCCUUAUAUCCCAUGAAAGUGGUUCUGGACCUUCUGCAGAGUGCAACAUUGCAACAACAUCAUCAUCGGUGGCUUUCAAGACUUCCCUUUUGCAUGUAUUCGUACACCAGCAGGAAUUGAUUAUCCUCCCAGCAGUAGCCAAUUAGUUUAACUAGGUUUGGAUGAGAGAGCCUCCCCAAAAAUUGCACUUCACUCUGCAUCCAAAUAUUAUCAAUAUAUAAGGUCUUGUCAGUGUUUU